rnacentral:rRNA from 1 species
UACGGAGGGUGCAAGCGUUAUCCGGAUUCACUGGGUUUAAAGGGUGCGUAGGUGGGCAGGUAAGUCAGUGGUGAAAUCUCCGGGCUUAACCCGGAAACUGCCAUUGAUACUAUCAGUCUUGAAUACCGUGGAGGUAAGCGGAAUAUGUCAUGUAGCGGUGAAAUGCUUAGAUAUGACAUAGAGCACCAAUUGCGAAGGCAGCUUACUACCCGAAUAUUGACACUGAGGCACGAAAGCGUGGGGAUCAAACAGG